CCCUUAGAUGUUCUGGGCUGCACGCGCGCUACACUGAAGCGUUCAACGAGUAUUCACCUUGCCCGGGAGGGUUGGGUAAUCUUUUGAAAACGCUUCGUGAUGGGGAUAGAUUAUUGCAAUUAUUAAUCUUCAACGAGGAAUUCCUAGUAAGCGCGAGUCAUCAGCUCGUGCUGAUUACGUCCCUGCCCUUUGUACACAUCGCCCGUCGCUACUACCGAUUGAAUGGUUUAGUGAGAUCUUCGGAUUGGCGCCUACGCGGCUUCUCUGAGGCCACGCUGGAUGCCGAAAAGUUGCUCAAACUGUAUCAUUUAGAGGAAGUAAAAGUCGUAACA
rnacentral:rRNA from 1 species